AAGCAUAUCACUAAGCGGAGGAAAAGAAACUAACUAGGAUUCCCCCAGUAACUGCGAGUGAAGAGGGAAGAGCUCAUCAUUGGAAUCUGGCAGUGUUGCACUGUCCGAGUUGUAGAUGAGGAGUAGUCCGUCUGGACUGCAUGGCGUCCAAGUACAAUAGGCCGUCAGUGGGACAUCAUAGAGGGUGACAAUCCCGUCCUUGACGCUAAUGUGCAAGUCUAUUACGAUGGCUAUCUCAGAGAGUCGAGCAGUUUGGGAUUUGCUGCUUAAACAUGGGAGGUAGAUUCCUUCUAAAGCUAAAUACAGGCGAGAGACCGAUAGAGAACAAGUACCGCAAGGGAAAGAUGAAAUAGCACUCUGUGAAGGGAGUCAAAAGGCGUGAAAUUGUUGCGAGAGAAGCGAUUCAAGUCAGCGUAGCUAGGCCCAUCAAGCGUCUUCGCUUUGGACUAGCUUUGCCAGCGGUCUUGUCCCUUAAAGAGACUUGACUUGUAAUAUGUCCAGCCUGGCGUGCACAGGCAGCCCCUUCUGGGGGCCAGUGGCAUGGCUGGUGGAAUGGCUUGCAAUCGACCCGUCUUGAAACACGGACCAAGGAGUCUAACAUGUAUGCGAGUAUAAGGGUGGCAAACCCGUAUGCGCAAUGAAAGUGAUUUUCGGUGAUUGAGAAUGGCCUGAUGACCAGACAAGCAAUACAUGUCCCUCGUACGGCCAUUGCCCAAGUUCCGUGGUAGAUCCCACGAACAUGGAGUUGGAGCAUACAUGCUAGGACCCGAAAGAUGGUGAACUAUGCCUGGACAAAGCGAAGCCAAAGGAAACUCUGGUGGAGGCUUGUAGCGAUUCUGACGUGCAAAUCGAUCGUCUGAUCUGGGUAUAGGGGCGAAAGACUAAUCGAACCAUCUCAUAGCUGGUUCCUGCCG
rnacentral:rRNA from 2 species